UUUAGCUACUUACUUCGCCGUGGUUACUUGAAAUGCCAACAAAAGUAAUAGUGCCCCUCACGAGCCGCACAUUUUGAAAUAUACUAAGUGAGGGGGCAUGCAGCGGUACGAGCCGCUUUAACGGUGAAAGGAAGUGGCGGUUAUUUUGAGGUGUUGAAAAAUAGCCAUGUAUCGAUAUGGCAGGCCCCAAAAACAAACUGAAGGCAUUAUAUCAAACAUGGAUUAUUUUAAAAUAUGGUCAACGAUUUGACACAGGGGUGCUUUGUUGUUUCAGCAGCCGCUCAAUGUUUUUCUUGUAACAUGUGCUGUUUAGUUGCAGAAAAAUGUUUUGAUUUUGCAUCAUAUCAUAACAUGGGGAUAUGAAGCCCGUUUUGUGAAUCCUUACGUCAGGACAUAUAUGUGAAAAAUUUUGUGAGUGUUCAAAACGAUCGUGAAUGGAGAAAAUAAGAACGUGCAAUCAAUUGGAGCUACUUCAAGCAUUCAGCAUGCAGAGGUCAGGUUUUUUUUUUUGGUUUGUUAUGGUGCACUUUUUGACCUGGAGACCCUCCUCGCCUGAACUUGGACGGCGAGCCCCAGCCCAGAGGACCAAGACUUCG